rnacentral:sRNA from 1 species
ACUGGGCAUGAUGGCACAUGCCUGUAAUCCCAGCAGCUCAGGAGGUUGAGGCAGGAGGAUCAUGAGUUCAAAGCCAGCCUCAGCAAAAGUGAGGUACUAAGCAACUCAAUAAGACCCUGUCUCUA